GCUGUGUCUGGCUGCGGUUG
rnacentral:misc_RNA from 1 species